UGAGGAAUAUUGGACAAUGGGCGCAAGCCUGAUCCAGCAAUCUGGCGUGGGUGAAGAAGGUCCUAUUGAUUGUAAAGCCCUUUCGGCAGGGAUGAUGAUGACGUAACCUGCAGAAGAAGCCCCGGCAAAUUCCGUGCCAGCAGCCGCGGUAAGACGGAAGGGGCUAGUGUUAUCCGGAAUGAUUGGGCGUAAAGGGCAUGUAGGCGGCAGACAAAGUCAUUGAGAAAAGACCUAACAGAAAUUAGGGAGAUUUAAUGAAACUGUCAAGCUUGAGUGCGGAAGAGGAUCGUGGAAUUUCGAGUGUAGAAAUGGAAUGCUUAGAUAUUCGAAGGAACGCCAGCAGCGAAGGCGACGAUCUGGUCCGAAACUGACGCUGAAAUGCGAAAGCGUGGGGAGCAAA
rnacentral:rRNA from 1 species